AUUGAACGCUGGCGGCAUGCCUUACACAUGCAAGUCGAACGGCAGCACGGGUGCUUGCACCUGGUGGCGAGUGGCGAACGGGUGAGUAAUACAUCGGAACAUGUCCUGUAGUGGGGGAUAGCCCGGCGAAAGCCGGAUUUAUACCGCAUACGAUCUACGGAUGACAGCGGGGGACCUUCGGGCCUCGCGCUAUAGGGUUGGCCGAUGGCUGAUUAGCUAGUUGGCGGGGUAAAGGCCUACCAAGGCGACGAUCAGUAGCUGGUCUGAGAGGAUGACCAGCCACACUGGAACUGAGACACGGCCCAGACUCCUACGGGAGGCAGCAGUGGGGAAUUUUGGACAAUGGGCGAAAGCCUGAUCCAGCAAUGCCGCGUGUGUGAAGAAGGCCUUCGGGUUGUAAAGCACUUUUGUCCGGAAAGAAAUCCUUGGCCCUAAUACGGUCGGGGGAUGACGGUACCGGAAGAAUAAGCACCGGCUAACUACGUG
rnacentral:rRNA from 1 species